rnacentral:ncRNA from 4 species
GCAGAUCUUGGUGGUAGUAGC